UACGUAGGGUGCAAGCGUUGUCCGGAAUAUUGGGCGUAAAGAGCUUGUAGGCGGUUUGUCGCGUCUGCUGUGAAAUUUCGGGGCUCAACCCCGAACUUGCAGUGGGUACGGGCAGACUAGAGUGUGGUAGGGGAGACUGGAAUUCCUGGUGUAGCGGUGAAAUGCGCAGAUAUCAGGAGGAACACCGGUGGCGAAGGCGGAUCUCUGGGCCAUAACUGACCGCUGAGGAGCGAAAGCUGGGGAGCGAACAGG
rnacentral:rRNA from 1 species